rnacentral:rRNA from 1 species
UACGUAGGGUGCAAGCGUUAAUCGGAAUUACUGGGCGUAAAGCGUGCGCAGGCGGUUGUGUAAGACAGAUGUGAAAUCCCCGGGCUCAACCCUGGGAACUGCAUUUGUGACUGCACGGCUGGAGUGCGGCAGAGGGGAUGGAAUUCCGCGUGUAGCAGUGAAAUGCGUAGAUAUGCGGAGGAACACCGAUGGCGAAGGCAAUCCCCUCGGGCCUGCACUGACGCUCAUGCACGAAAGCGUGGGGAGCGAAACAAGG